GACGAACGCUGGCGGCGUGCUUAACACAUGCAAGUCGAACGGAAAGGCCCUGCUUUUGUGGGGUGCUCGAGUGGCGAACGGGUGAGUAACACGUGAGUAACCUGCCCUUGACUUUGGGAUAACUUCAGGAAACUGGGGCUAAUACCGGAUAGGAGCUCCUGCUGCAUGGUGGGGGUUGGAAAGUUUCGGCGGUUGGGGAUGGACUCGCGGCUUAUCAGCUUGUUGGUGGGGUAGUGGCUUACCAAGGCUUUGACGGGUAGCCGGCCUGAGAGGGUGACCGGCCACAUUGGGACUGAGAUACGGCCCAGACUCAUACGGGAGGCAGCAGUGGGGAAUAUUGCACAAUGGGCGGAAGCCUGAUGCAGCAACGCCGCGUGGGGGAUGACGGCCUUCGGGUUGUAAACCGCUUUCGCCUGUGACGAAGCGUGAGUGACGGUAAUGGGGAAAGAAGCACCGGCUAACUACGU
rnacentral:rRNA from 1 species